UUUUUUUUUGGUGUCUCAAUUAAGAUUUUUUUAUGUAUGUAAAUGUUUUGCCUCUAUGCAUGUAUAUGUGUCACAUGUCUUGUGCUUACUGCAAGACAUCUUUCCCUCCCAGUCUCCCUCCCUCCCCCUUUCUAGACCUCCCUUCCAAUUGGGAGUUCAGAAGUAACUAAAGUGCGCACCACCUGUAAUAUCUACUUAAUGCCACCAGGGUGUCUCAUGGUGCUGUCUGAUCUGUGUUCUUAUCCCUGGCCUUAGCUCAGAGCCCAGCUCCAAGACAGUGAAAUGCUUGACUUCCUGGCUUUACAGUGUACAGACAGUUCAGCUCAGGAAAACCUUUGCCCUUUUUUUGGCCAGGUCAUUCAGAGGUUGGACUUGCCAGCCAGCCACUCAGUAACUAGGCAGCAGCCCUAUAAAAGCCAAAGAAGGGGCUGGCAAGAUGGCUCAGUGGUUAAGAACACUGACUGCGUUCUGAGUUCAAUUACCAGCAACUACAUGGUGGCUCACAGCCAUCUACAAUGGGAUCUAUUGCACUCUUCUGGCAUGCAGGUGUACAUGGAGACAGAGCACUCAUAUACAUGAAUAUUUAAAAAAAAAAAAAGCCAAAGAACCUGCCAGUGUUUCAAAGAGCAGCUAAAGAGAAGCGGCUAUACAUUGGAGGAGAGAGCAAAUAUACAUAGAGACCUUGAAGGGAAUCUUCUAAGGCAGGGAAGAAGCAGAGACUUGUAUCCACUGAACCAAAAUACAAGCACAUACUAUGUCCAAGUAGCUACCUCUAUGUGAGGAAAGGAUAGAAAACAUUCAAGACAUCAUAUGGGCUUACGAUCUACAGAUUCCAACCAGUAGCAGUGGCUGACUCCUACACAGACGACUGGGAACUGCAAACAGGCUGGGGUCACCUCAGUGACAUCUGACGCUGUCCAACCAGAAGUCUGACUUGUGUGUGCGUGUGCUGCAGGAAUUGAAAAAUGUACUAAAAGACUAAAAUAUUUUGCCUCU
ensembl:lincRNA Gm15892 predicted gene 15892